ACAAGCGGUGGAGUAUGUGGUUUAAUUCGAUGCAACGCGAGAACCUUACCUGGUCUUGACAUCCCGGAGACCCUUAGGAAACUAGGGGUGCUUCCAUCUGGAAGAAUCUGGAGACAGGUGCUGCAUGGCUGUCGUCAGCUCGUGUCGUGAGAUGUUGGGUUAAGUCCCGCAACGAGCGCAACCCUUGCCUUUAGUUGCCAGCAGUUCGGCUGGGCACUCUAAAGGGACUGCCGGUGUUAAACCGGAGGAAGGUGGGGAUGACGUCAAGUCCUCAUGGCCUUUAUGACCAGGGCUACACACGUACUACAAUGGCCGAUACAAAGGGCAGCGACACUGCGAGGUGAAGCCAAUCCCGUAAAAUCGGUCUCAGUCCGGAUUGGAGUCUGCAACUCGACUCCAUGAAGUUGGAAUCGCUAGUAACCGCAGAUCAGCUACGUUGCGGUGAAUACGUUCCCGGGCCUU
rnacentral:rRNA from 1 species